rnacentral:rRNA from 1 species
UACGUAGGGUGCGAGCGUUUGUCCGGAAUUACUGGGCGUAAAGAGCUCGUAGGUGGUUUGUCGCGUUGUUCGUGAAAACUCACAGCUCAACUGUGGGCGUGCGGGCGAUACGGGCAGACUGGAGUACUGCAGGGGGAGACUGGAAUUCCUGGUGUAGCGGUGGAAUGCGCAGAUAUUAGGAGGAACACCGGUGGCGAAGGCGGGUCUCUGGGGCAGUAACUGACGCUGAGGAGCGAAAGCGUGGGGGAGCGAACAGG